rnacentral:lncRNA from 1 species
GGACCCCUGCCCUUUGACUUUAACCAUAUAUGGACACGCAUGGGCGGGUGCAUGCCAGCGAUGGCACACGCCAGGCGAAACGGCGUCGCAACACGUGCUAGAGGGACCGUGAUAUGGGUUUUUACGGGCACGAGAAACGGGUCGUGCUCCGUGGCUCUGCGCAUGUAAUCCGUGCGGGCUAUGUCGAUCGAUACUGUGGUCGAGUAGGCGGCACACACAAAUGUCUUGUAGGAGGAGCCGAUAUCGGACGGUAGGGCGUCCUCCGAGCCAACCAGGCGCACGGCGAUCGGUUUCCAAAGGGCGUUGUCUUCGGACAGCCGGUAGAGUCGGCGGCACGCCGCGCCGACGCGCAGCAGCGACACAUGACGCCGUCCGCACAUUGCCAUGACGGCAAAGAGGACUUCAUCCGGCAACGCCAAAAGGUCUGGGUAGGCCACGUUGGACGCGAUGGCAUGUGUGCCGUCUGACAUUGCAGGCGCGUCUGUGUAUGUUUGUGCGCGGACAGCGUUUUUUAGGAGCAAUAACCCCAUCCUAUUGCGCCACUGUUUCCAAAAACCAUUCAUG